GUGCUCACUUCAGCAGCAUAUAUAUUAAGAAGAUUAGCAAGGCCCCUGUGCAAAGAUGACAUGCAAAUUCAGGAAGGGUUCCAUUAGAAA
rnacentral:snRNA from 1 species